UACGUAGGGGGCGAGCGUUGUCCGGAAUCAUUGGGCGUAAAGAGCUCGUAGGCGGUUCAGUAAGUCAGGUGUGAAAGCUCCGAGCUCAACUCGGAGAGGCCACCUGAUACUGCUGUGACUAGAAUCCAGUAGGGGAGUGUGGAACUCCUGGUGUAGCGGUGAAAUGCGUAGAUAUCAGGAGGAACACCGGUGGCGAAGGCGGGUCUCUGGGCCGAUACUGACGCUGAGGAGCGAAAGCGUGGGGAGCGAACAGG
rnacentral:rRNA from 1 species